rnacentral:rRNA from 1 species
GGGGGGGGGGGGGGGGGGGGCGGGGGGGGGGGGGGCGGGCGGAGGGGUCGGGGUGGGUGGGGGACGGGUGGGUAACGCGUGGGAACGUGCGUUUAGGGUCGGAAGGACUCAGGGAGAGGUGUGCUAAUGCCGAAUGUGUGCUUCGGGGGGAAGAUUGAUCGCCUUUAGAGCUGCCCGCGUCUGAUGAGCUAGUGGGUGAGGUAAAGGCUAACCAAGGCGACGAUCAGUAGCUGGUCUGAGAGGAUGAUCAGCCACAUUGGGACUGAGACACGGCCCAAACUCCUACGGGAGGCAGCAGUGGGGAAUCUUGCGCAAUGGGCGAAAGCCUGACGCAGCCAUGCCGCGUGAAUGAUGAAGGUCUUAGGAUUGUAAAAUUCUUUCACCGGGGACGAUAAUGACGGUACCCGGAGAAGAAGCCCCGGCUAACUUCGUG